CACUCAUACUACAGCUGGAACAUCAGGGAGGCCAGGAAAAACCUGCAAUAUCUUUACAGGAAACCUGGAUGGGGCCAAGACAACCAGCAGCUUCCCCACAAAGCUUCUAUCUUACAAGUGCUUGAUUGGAGGGUUGGUAACACGACAAACAAAGCUCACCAUCAUUUUUUUUUCCCUUACGAUUUAUUUAUUUUUAAUGUCAAUGUGUUCGAUAGCAAUUUUGCAACAUGUAUUUGUUAACCCCACUUAUUUUAUUUGAAUUAUGAUUGGUGGAACUUGACAUAAUGUAAUUCUCGAAUUAUAUGACUUUAAUCUCAGGAAAAAUAGCUUGUUCAAUAUUUUAAAAUAGCAGGAUCAAAAUGCAAUGCAGGUGUUUAUAACCACAGUGUUGUGAUUGAACAUGCAAUCAUGCAUGCAUGAGAGUAGCAGAAAUUGUAAGAAUAUGUAUUUGGUAAACUAAAAAGAUCAUGCAGUAUAGUGAUAAGACAUUUAUGAAUUUUCAUGAGUAACCAAUCUUUCAUGACAUCCAACUUGCCGAUUCAUCGCAAAUGUAGAUAAAGUAGAUCCUAAAUUUCUCUCACACAUGAACUUGA